CUCAGGGAUUCUGAGAUUGCUUCAGGAAGGGUGUGAUUGCAGGGUUUUAUUAUAGACCUGGACUGAGCAAUUGGUGUUAUCAGAUGGAGACCUUCUUGGUGCUUGUGCUUCUCAGGUGGGCAGUGUUGUUGCACUGAGUUGCACUGCAGCAUGUUUUCAGAAGUGGAAAAUCCUACCAUGACAAAGCCCAUGCAGAUGUGGGGAUGUAUGGGGUACUCUUCAAGCAAGUUUCUGUACUGAUUCAGAGUUGGAACCAUGUUUCUCGGUGGAUGGCACACACUGUCACAAACCAGUAAGAAGCAGCAAACUUAAUAUAUGGUGCCUAAAGCAAAACUGUUUAAGGAGCUGAGCAUCUUUCUGUGCUUUGCAUUUACACAGCCAAAAUACCCUAGAGAAAUGAAGAACAAUUUUCAACACCGUAUCAGAGAUUCUUCUGCACGAAGUCUUUUGCAUCUGAGAUUUCAGCACAAACUUGUUGUUUCAGCACAAGCCCUUCUUACAAACAGGGUGUUACAGGAGCUUAUUCAUAGUUAG
rnacentral:lncRNA from 1 species